GGACUGUUAGCUCAGACGGCAGAGCAGCUGGCUGUUAACCAGCGUGUCGGGGGUUCGAUUCCCUCACAGCCCG
rnacentral:tRNA from 1 species